GGAGCUGGGCAAGAAGUGGGAAGAUCUUGUAUUAUUCUGGAAUUCAAAGGAAGAAAAAUAAUGUUGGACUGUGGGAUCCACCCAGGCCUAGAAGGAAUGGAUGCUCUUCCUUACAUCGAUUUAAUUGACCCAGCUGAGAUUGAUCUCCUGCUAAUUAGUCAUUUCCAUUUGGAUCACUGUGGAGCUUUGCCCUGGUUUCCACAGAAGACAAGUUUCAAAGGAAGAACAUUUAUGACUCAUGCCACAAAAGCUAUUUAUAGAUGGCUUCUUUCAGAUUAUGUCAAAGUUAGCUUUUGUACACAGGUGAUUUCUCAAGACAAGAAGACAGACACUUAAUGGCAGCUGAAAUUCCUAAUAUUAAACCUGAUAUUCUUAUCAUUGAAUCUACUUACGGAACCCAUAUCCAUGAGAAGCGAGAAGAGCGAGAGGCAAGGUUCUGUAACACUGUUCACGAUAUUGUGAACCGAGGGGGCAGAGGUCUCAUUCCUGUCUUUGCUCUUGGAAGGGCUCAGGAGCUUCUCUUGAUUUUAGAUGAGUACUGGCAGAAUCACCCAGAACUCCAUGAUAUUCCCAUAUACUAUGCAUCGUCUUUGGCCAAGAAGUGUAUGGCGGUGUACCAGACAUAUGUAAACGCCAUGAAUGACAAAAUCCGCAAACAGAUCAACAUCAACAAUCCCUUUGUUUUCAAACAUAUUAGUAACCUUAAGAGCAUGGAUCAUUUUGAUGACAUUGGUCCCAGUGUUGUAAUGGCCUCCCCAGGCAUGAUGCAGAGUGGCUUAUCCAGAGAGCUCUUCGAAAGCUGGUGUACUGAUAAGAGGAAUGGCGUCAUUAUAGCGGGAUACUGUGUAGAAGGGACGCUUGCCAAGCAUAUCAUGUCUGAACCUGAAGAAAUCACUACCAUGUCCGGACAGAAGCUACCACUGAUAAUGUCUGUUGAUUACAUUUCUUUCUCUGCUCACACAGAUUACCAGCAAACCAGUGAAUUUAUUCGUGCUUUGAAACCGCCUCACGUGAUUUUAGUCCAUGGAGAACAAAAUGAAAUGGCCAGAUUGAAAGCAGCCCUGAUUCGAGAAUAUGAAGAUAAUGAUGAAGUUCACAUAGAGGUUCAUAAUCCUCGGCAUACAGAAGCAGUGACCUUGAACUUCAGGGGGGAAAAACUAGCCAAGGUCAUGGGCUUUUUAGCAGACAAAAAACCAGAACAGGGCCAGCAGGUCUCAGGAAUACUUGUUAAAAGAAACUUUAAUUAUCAUAUACUUUCUCCUUGUGACCUCUCUAAUUAUACUGACUUGGCCAUGAGCACGGUAAAGCAGACCCAAGCCAUUCCAUAUACUGGUCCUUUUAAUUUGCUUUAUUACCAGCUACAGAAAUUGACAGGUGAUGUAGAAGAAUUAGAAAUUCAAGAAAAACCUGCUUUGAAAGUGUUCAAAAAUAUUACUGUAAUACAGGAACCAGGAAUGGUGGUAUUAGAAUGGCUGGCAAACCCUUCCAAUGAUAUGUAUGCAGAUACAGUAACAACCGUGAUAUUAGAAGUCCAGUCAAACCCGAAAAUAAGGAAAGGUGCAGUACAGAAGGUUUCUAAAAAAUUAGAAAUGCACAUUUAUAGCAAGAGGUUGGAGAUCAUGCUCCAGGACAUAUUUGGAGAAGACUGUGUUAGUGUAAAAGAUGGUUCUAUCCUUAGCGUCACAGUGGACGGAAAAACUGCUAACAUAAACUUGGAGACACGGACUGUAGAAUGUGAAGAAGGAAGUGAAGAUGAUGAGUCCCUCCGAGAAAUGGUGGAACUGGCAGCCCAGAGACUAUAUGAGGCCCUCACGCCAGUUCACUAAUAACCUUAUGUCUCUGUAGAUGUUAAACUUUUUUGUAAUGCUUGACUCUACUUCUGUUACUUAAAAUAAAAUACAUUAAUUUCUCAAAAAAAAAA